GUCCUAUACGAUUAAUUCAAUAGCUCAAUAUCUCACUAAGCCGGAGUCACCACAGUGACCUAUACGGCCCUACUCUGCACAUCACUCGGAACUACGUAAGGUAGUCUAUACGAUGAAAGGUGUAAAAUACGCUCUAGUGCUUCUCUCAUCAUAUCAUCAGCGCGCAUAUCUAAGGUCACCCACCAGUCGGAACCCCUCUAAUGGUCUGUACGACUGGCAUGUCGGAACCCUUACAUGGUCUGUACGACAUCCACCUACUUGGAUCCAAGGCGAGCGUGCGGUGUGGUGAAUAAUAUAAGCACUAACACCUAGGGUGCAGAUUAUGAGCUCAAACAUCUCAACAACAACAAUUCAAUGAAUAAACGAACUCACCUGACUUACCUGUGCCUCCACAGCACCAUGCAACAUGUAUGCAUCAUAUAUCAAUCAUAUAACUCAUAUGAAAUUCACAUUUUCCAAAUAAUUCUAUGCAUGGCAUUUUCAAAACAUAAUUUCGCAUAAAAGCAUUUUUCUGGGAAAAACAAUAGUAUAUAGGUAAUACGAAAACAAAACUGCCCACUCACCUGGAGUUCGCCCACAACUCCCUAGCACCGUACAUCAAGGCGUCAUGACGAUUAGCGCCUAGAACAACAAUCAAAUCCAACCUCAGAAAUUCUGCCGAUAGAAUACAUAACUUAUAUAAGACACGUCACUACGUAGUUCGAUCCGGAUGAUCUGCAAUUCAGAUUUCAAAUCCGUAACUUCCAGAGGUCCACAAUAUACCUCUAGGACAACAUCCUAAAAUUUCAUUACCAUCCAACGGUCGGAUCUCCGUCAAUUUCCAAAACUAAGUGACGGUUAACAUUCUAUUUUAUGAACUUACAACUUCAAUUCCGGAAGAUCCGUAAAUCGGAUUCCCAAUCCGUAAGUUCCUAUAAUCCUCAAAUAUUACGUAUUACAACGUAUCAAAGUUUUGAUGACGAUCCAACGGUCGGAUCGUCAAUUCACAUUUUCACCUAACCACGAAAUCGUAACCAACUUAGGUUCAAUUAUUCAAUUUACGUCCAUCAAUUAUCAAAACAGAACCUAGAACCUUAAUCACAAGCUAAUAAUGACAUUGGCGGGCCAUUGGCCACGCGCCGCCGCGCGGGCCGCCGCGGGUGGCGGUUGGCCGCCCCCGGCUCGCCGGAAAAUUCAACUAUUUCCAAAAAUUACCAAAAUUUUCAGAUUUGAAGAUCUCAAUGAGUAGAACAACUUUCAUACCUGAGACCAAUGCCAAUUUGGCCUGGAAGUGCUUCAAUUUCACCAAAACCGUGAAGAACCCUAGAAUUUGGGUGUUUCCAAUUCGACCUUCAAACUUGUUCCAACGCCUCAAUUACCUCUUGGGCUUUGUUCUAGGUCCUAAAGGAAUGCUAAAGGUGUUAGUAAUUGAAAGAAAACAUUUCAAAAUUUGGAGAAUUUAAACAAAAGGGUCGCGGCACCCGUAGGGGUGUUCUUCGCGAAAUCACAACGAAAUUCAAUGAUUCUUGGGGUGAAACGUGAAGAGGGAAGGCCUAGAUGAUGAUUAGGAGUGGUACCUUGACUCAAUUCGUCGGAAAAUUGGACGAAAACGGCGAAAACCCGCCGAUUUGGAAGCUUGGGUCGCGCGGGUCAAGGGUGACCCAUUCCUCCUGUUCCCCCGUGCACCACUCUCCCUCCUUUCCCUCCUUUCCGUCCCCUGAUUGGUCAGCUUCUUCCUCUCCCUUCUUCUGGUUCACUCUCAUCUCUCUUCUUCUCCGAUUGGGCAUUUCUGCCCAGUCUCUUCUUCUUUUCUGUUUUUCUGUUUCUUCUUCUCAUACACAUACACACACCAAAAACCUUUCCCUCAUCCCAGCCAUCCAUUUCAUUCAUCAAUAAAUCUGGGCCGUCCAAUUUCAUAAAAGAAUUUCUAUAUUUUACUAAAAUUAUAAUUCCUUAAAAUUCCAAAUUUCAAACGUUAAUAACUUCUUCGAUAUAACUCCAAAUCACGAACCGUCUGCGCCCACCGCGUCCGUAACGACGAGUACUACGACGAGGAUAUGUCAAGAAAACAAAUCUUAGAUGGCACGACACAACGAUUAACCUCGAAUGAUGUGCGUGCCUCAAAGGGCAUUUUUGUAAUAUCCUUUAUUAAAACUUUAAAAAUUCUUAAAAUUAGGGACGGGCUGUCACAAUCUACCCACCUUACAGAAAUUUCGUCCUCGAAAUUUACACAAUCUUUACAAUCCAUCAAUAUCCAUGAAACAGCCCGAAACACAUCUCUCUCAUUCGAUUCUUUGACUUCUAAGUAGCUUCUUCCACUGAAAGAUUCCUGCAUAAACUUUCACCAAACUCAUAGUCUUAUUUCUCAGUACAUCAUCUUUCUAAUACAAGAUAGGCACUGGCUCCUCAUCAUACGUCAAAUCCAUAUUGACUUCCAAGGUUGAGAAGGUAUCACUCGUGAAGGAUAUGAGGUUUAAUGUCGAAGUAUCGAAACAUAAAACAUAUCAUGCCCUUUCAUCGGCUCUGGAGGCAACUCAGCCUGUACGUAACUUCACUGACUCGUUCGAUGAUCACAGAUGGUCUGACGUAUCUAGGACUUACUUGUUUUUCUUUUUAAAACAAAUCAUACCUUUCCAAGGUGAUAAUUUCAAAAUCAUUCGAUCACCUACAUAUACAUCCGGUCAGUGGCAUGUUUGUCUGCUAAGCUCUUCAGCCGAUCCUGGCCCACUUCCAGGUUAGACUUAAUUACUUGAAUAUUCCGAAUAGUCUCAUCCACUAACUCAGGGCCUUGAAUACUAUCCGUCCCCAAUUCUAACAAUUUCGAAACACAAGACAUAGCUUUCCACGGCCUUAUGGCGUUACUCUAGGGAACAAACUGAAGGGACCAACAUACCCAAGAAGUUUAACAGAUCCCAAAUCUCUUUUUCCAUAAAACAAACAAAUAAAUGUUGCGCUUGUCUGGAAAAGUUGGUGUUCUCAUACUGAAGUAACAUACGCUGACGUCACCAGUCGAUCAAUUAUUAUUCAAAUUCCAACCUAACUAUUUUGUAUACGAGGAAGCUUGUCCACGAAAUCCAUAGUAAUAUUCUCCCAUUUCCGCCGUGGAAUGGGAAAUGACUACAUUAAUCCAAAAGACUUAUUUCUUUCUGCUUUAACCUGAUGACUGAUGAUACGCCUACUAACAUACUUCGCCAUUCCUCUUUUCAUACCCGUCAAUAGUACAUGAACGAAUGGUAUGAUAAAUCUUAGUACUUUUUGGGAUGCAUUGUAGAAGUGGAAAUAAUGUACAUCGUCAAAAUUGCUUUCUUUAAUUCCACACCAUUAGGCAUAAACACUUUGUUCUUUUGCAUAGGCUUGCCAUCUGAUUCUCUAACUCUAAGGUCCUUCUUUUUCCCGUUAUUCCUUGCUUUAAAAUAAAUUCUUGAAUUUCUUCGUCAAACGCUCGAGUAUCGAGUACGAUCUACCAAAUGGGUCCAACUUAGAAAUUAGCAAGUAAGGCUUCUUCUCGAUUUUUGAUACUCAACUUUACUCCAGUAGAUUUCAAAUCCACAAGAAGAUGAACAUAGCAAGCGUACCAAGCAUUAAUUUCUCACUGGGGUCUUCCUACUAAAAUGCAUCAGCCACAACAUUAGCUUGACCACCCUCGUCACACAAUCAUAGUCACUAAGCAACUCAUUCCACCUUUGUUGCCUAAGAUUAAGAUACCUCUGAAUAAACAGAUAUUGGGUACUCUUUUGAUUUGUAACAAUCAUGCACUUUUCUUCCCAUAAAGACAAUGUCUCCAAAUCUUCAAAGCAAAGAUGAUAGCUGCUAAUUCCAAAUUAUAAUUAGGGUAAUUCAUCUUAUGAGAUCCCAAUGGCCAUGAAGCAUAGGCAAUCAUCCUACCAUGUUGCAUCAACACGCAUCCAAGUACAUUCAAAGAAGUAUUAUUAUAGACCACAUAAUUACCACUAUCGUCUGGGAGUGCGAAAACAGAUGCAUGAGUGAGGGAAUACUUUACUUGCUGAAGCUCUACUCACAAUUUUUUUUAUCCCACUCAAACUUAACCUCUUUUCUCAUCAAUCUCGCCAAGGGCGAAGCAAUAAUUAAAAUCUUGGACGAACUAUCGACAAUAUCCUGCUAAUCCGAGAAAACUCUGAACCUCAGUCACAGUUCGCAAUUGUUCCAAAUUCUCAAUCGUUGCUACUCUUUUAAGAAUCCAUUUGAAUACCUUAAGUAGAUAUAAUUAAUUUAUCCAACAUUAGCAUUUGCUAAACUUAGCAUACAUCAACGUUCCCUCAAUCUUUGCAACACCAACUUUAAAUAUCUAGCAUGCACUGCUCUAAUCUUAUCAAUCUCGUCAAUGGCAAACAAUAACAACCCGGUCCAGAUAUCACUGGAAUACUUCCUUCAGCAAACUCAUAAAAGUAGCAGGUGCAUUCGUCACUCCGUAUGGCCUCCCAACUUGAAAUGACCAUAACGAGUCCUGGAUUUAGUCUUAUGAACAUCCUCACUGUUAAUCUUCAACUAAUAUCAUUCAGACCUCAAGUCAAUCUCAGAAAGUACCCAGGCGCCUCAGAGCUGAUCAAAUAAUCAUCAAUACACAACAAUGGAUAACAGCUCUCAAUCGUUACCCGAUUCAAUUACCUAAUAUCAAUGCCUAGCCUUAAUGUCCAUUUUCUUCCUCACAAAUAAACCGGAGCUUUUCCAAUGUGAUAAUAUAAGUUGAAAUGGAACUUUUAACUCAACCUGAACCAAUCUCUAACAUAGGAUUUGUACCUAAAAAACAAUUCAAUAAUAAAACCCACAUCUCUCUGCCUGGCGGCAAUCUAGGUAAGGCAUCUGGGAAUACACCAAGAAAAUGUCUAACCAUCUUUACAUCUUCCAUACUAUUAGGAUCAACAUCAUUUAGCACCAUAUGAACUCAAUAUCUUGGCAGCCUUUUGAUAACAAUCUUCUUUGCUCUCUCAACAGGAAUAAUGGCAUAACUCACUCCACUUUACUUACCCCCAAAAGUAACCUCUGGUCAUCCAGGUCGACAAAAAUUAACUGAUUCCCCAUAGCAAUCUAGCUUGACACAAAUAUACAUUUCCUCUACCAGAGUCAUCUUGUCUCAGAAAUCUGGGAUCACUAGUAAAUCUAUCACUUCGCCUCUGACCAGUGGCAGUAAAACCUAAGCUGGGAAAAUUAGCUCUAAUUUCACCUCCUUUGAAGCUCUGAGUCCUCCGAGGUCUUUGAUAUGACGAAUCUUUAACUUUAUCGUCUUAUUCUGAUUCUCAUUCCUUUCUUAUUCCUCUUUACUCUCGCUGAUCAUAUUCUCAAAGUCUUCAAAGCCCAACAACAUCUCGUAAACUCUUGGUAAAAAGUACAAUGGAUAGUGGUCGCCAAAGAACGCAACUUCUUCUUAUUAUCCAGCCAAAAACGACAUAACACCUCGACCGAAUUAACAACAUCAGAAUGGAAACAAGGCAAGUCUGUAAACUUUCUAUAAUAUUCAUCCGUCGUCAUUUUCCUUGUCUCACAUUUGCAAUUUCUUGUUUACUACCAUCACAAUAUGCCGGGGGAAUGAACUUUUCUUAAACAAUUCUUUAACCAACUUCCAAACAGUUGUCCUUCCGAUAUCGUCGGAUAACAUUCCUAUCUCCAUCAAAAUGCAGAUUCAUCACUCAAAAACUAGGUAAAUCAUCUCGACCUACCUAUCGGGAGGAAAAUUCCCUUAACCUUGCAUAAUCUGAAACGCCUUUUCCCAAUUGAUUAAGCCAUCAAUCUGCUCCCUUAGGUCCUUCAUAUCCCUAAAGGGAUUCAAAUUUAACUUAUAACCAGUCUCAAAAGGUCCCUUUAGAUAAUAGACUGAAUCACAAUGGCAAUAGUUUCCCCCCAAACUACUAUAUCAGGGAAAUUAGGCUCAUCCGAACUACGUGGCUCGCUACGAGGCGGUAUAGUUCUGACAGAAGACACUAGGAAAUUAUCAAGAUGUCCAGAAUUGCAACCUAGGCUCUGAUACCAACUGACACACCCCGUCCCGAAGGAGGGCGUGCUGGCCGUCACGUGAGAGUGACGUAACCAUUUACACAGUUCGGAAGCUUUAAAAAAAUUUCCAAUUACUAAGAUAACACACCCGAGGGUGAGUCCUACUUUUGUGAAUUCUGUCAGAACACCGUUGGAUUCCUCGUGGCCACCAAAGCUCUGCUAACUUGAACCUGGAGGGGCGCAAAACAAAAUUGAGUGGGUCAGUAAAACAAAGUUUUUUCGAAAAACUUUUCAUUUAAAACAUUUCUAACCCCUCACCGUAAAACCUGUAUACUUUCCCAGAAAAUAGCAUAUAUAUAAACAUAUAUAUAAGCAAAACUCUCAAAUCUCAAACCUUUAACACUUUUCAGAAAUAUAUAUAUAUAUAUAUAUAUAUAUAUAUAUAUAUAUAUAUAACCAUAUGAAAUCUCAAAGCUUGAAUCCCAAAUCUUUAACAUUUUUCAAGAAAAACAUGCCAUGCCAUAAAUCAAAAUAUAAAUCAGGUGAAAUAAGGAAUCAAUCGGAGACCCUGCAGUUGGUCCUAUACGAUUAAUUCAAUAGCUCAAUAUCUCACUAAGCCGGAGUCACCACAGUGACCUAUACGGCCCUACUCUGCACAUCACUCGGAACUACGUAAGGUAGUCUAUACGAUGAAAGGUGUAAAAAUAUGCUCUAGUGCUUCUCUCAUCAUAUCAUCAGCGCGCAUAUCUAAGGUCACCCACCAGUCGGAACCCCUCUAAUGGUCUGUACGACUGGCAUGUCGGAACCCUUACAUGGUCUGUACGACAUCCACCUACUUGGAUCCAAGGCGAGCGUGCGGUGUGGUGAAUAAUAUAUAAGCACUAACACCUAGGGUGCAGAUUAUGAGCUCAAACAUCUCAACAACAACAAUUCAAUGAAUAAACGAACUCACCUGACUUAC
rnacentral:lncRNA from 1 species